GACGAACGCUGUCGGCGUGCUUAACACAUGCAAGUCGAACGGAAAGGCCCUGCUUUUGUGGGGUGCUCGAGUGGCGAACGGGUGAGUAACACGUGAGUAACCUGCCCUUGACUUUGGGAUAACUUCAGGAAACUGGGGCUAAUACCGGAUAGGAGCUCCUGCUGCAUGGUGGGGGUUGGAAAGUUUCGGCGGUUGGGGAUGGACUCGCGGCUUAUCAGCUUGUUGGUGGGGUAGUGGCUUACCAAGGCUUUGACGGGUAGCCGGCCUGAGGGGGUGACCGGCCACAUUGGGACUGAGAUACGGCCCAGACUCCUACGGGAGGCAGCAGUGGGGAAUAUUGCACAAUGGGCGGAAGCCUGAUGCAGCAACGCCGCGUGCGGGAUGACGGCCUUCGGGUUGUAAACCGCUUUCGCCUGUGACGAAGCGUGAGUGACGGUAAUGGGUAAAGAAGCACCGGCUAACUACGUGCCAGCAGCCGCGGUGAUACGUAGGGUGCGAGCGUUGUCCGGAUUUAUUGGGCGUAAAGGGCUCGUAGGUGGUUGAUCGCGUCGGAAGUGUAAUCUUGAGGCUUAACCCUGAGCGUGCUUUCGAUACGGGUUGACUUGAGGAAGGUAGGGGAGAAUGGAAUUCCUGGUGGAGCGGUGGAAUGCGCAGAUAUCAGGAGGAACACCAGUGGCGAAGGCGGUUCUCUGGGCCUUUCCUGACGCUGAGGAGCGAAAGCGUGGGGAGCGAACAGGCUUAGAUACCCUGGUAGUCCACGCUGUAAACGGUGGGUACUAGGUGUGGGGUCCAUUCCACGGGUUCCGUGCCGUAGCUAACGCUUUAAGUACCCCGCCUGGGGAGUACGGCCGCAAGGCUAAAACUCAAAGGAAUUGACGGGGCCCCGCACAAGCGGCGGAGCAUGCGGAUUAAUUCGAUGCAACGCGUAGAACCUUACCUGGGUUUGACAUGGAUCGGGAGCGCUCAGAGAUGGGUGUGCCUCUUUUGGGGUCGGUUCACAGGUGGUGCAUGGCUGUCGUCAGCUCGUGUCGUGAGAUGUUGGGUUAAGUCCCGCAACGAGCGCAACCCUUGUUCACUGUUGCCAGCACGUUAUGGUGGGGACUCAGUGGAGACCGCCGGGGUCAACUCGGAGGAAGGUGGGGAUGACGUCAAGUCAUCAUGCCCCUUAUGUCCAGGGCUUCACGCAUGCUACAAUGGCUGGUACAGAGAGUGGCGAGCCUGUGAGGGUGAGCGAAUCUCGGAAAGCCGGUCUCAGUUCGGAUUGGGGUCUGCAACUCGACCUCAUGAAGUCGGAGUCGCUAGUAAUCGCAGAUCAGCAACGCUGCGGUGAAUGCGUUCCCGGG
rnacentral:rRNA from 1 species